CACUUCCCCAGAAGUUUGGAAAGUUUGCGAGCGCGCAUCUUGCAGAGGCGCCGGGUGCGCGGUGUGCUCCGCGCCGCGCCGCGCCGCGCCGCGCUGCGAGGAGGAGGAGGAGGGCGGCUUGGCUCCGGACCGGCGAGGCGGCGUCCCUGUGCGGUCGGUGUGCCCCCGGGUCUGUGCCAGGGUAUCCGGGUAAAGGGGAGGCAGGGACGAACUGCGGUGCGGGGAUUAUCUCCUCCAGCCCCGCAUGAAGUCCCAGAUUAAAUUGUCGAGGCUUAAUCGAUUCACCGCGACUCAGUCAUCCCCGUGUAAUCCGCGCCGCUCUCUGCCUCCUCAAGCGCCAGGGAAAGAAAAACCCGAAAAAACCAGAAAAUGAAAUAAAACGCAGUUCUGGGCUUGAGAUGAUGUGAGCAGCAGGAGUGAGAGAGCGGGACGGCCCCGCCGGGCGCCGCAGGAGCUUAAGGGCGUCCCGCAAAGGUCCGGAAUAGCAGCAGCUCUCCGAGGGGGCUUUUACAGCCACAUCGGUGGAUAAAAAUCGUGCGCUGGGACCAGUGAUACUUCAUUAGAGCAUCAGUGUUCACAACUUUACACAGUUAAAACAGUGUGUCUUGCCUUUAUUGUUUAUCUAGUUUAGACAGCAACUCUCACGGCAUGGAAGAAAUACAUUAAGCUCAAAGGAAACAGGAUGGGCUCAAGGGGAUUGAAGAGAAUUUUGCUGCAUGCUUGUAUAUUAUAUUAAAACAAUUGAAAAUGAACACCUGAUCCCAAACAUAUUUAAGCUGUGUGGCUGAAAAUCUGACAGUGAUGAGCUCCAGAUGACCACAUAUCCUCCUAAACACCUCACCUAGUAAAAUAAAUGAAGAAGAAAUAUGCAAUAGGAUUAUUCCUUUGAGCUCCAUGAUGAAGAGACAACCAAAAAAAGCGGAGGGGGCAGCUGCAUCUCUCAGGGAUGUUCACCUGCAUGAAUAGUUCAUUGAAAGUGCUACCAUGGAGUGUGGAUCAAGGGCAAAUACAUCAGUGUGAGAGGGGCAGAGGUUAGGUUGAUGUGCAGAUGGAGUUUUAAAAAAAUAAUUUGUAUCAUGUAAAUCAUCCUGUGCUGCAUUGCUAGGUGCAUGAGAUUUUUGGUUGCAUGAGAUGUCCUGAAAGAAACUAGGGAGGCUAUAAAUUAAACUGAUCCUCUCUCCUCCCUCUUCUUUUCUGUACUGUAGAAGUCUGAUGUUUACUUAUUAUCCUCUUCUAAUGCUGUUAGUUUUUUGAGUUAGAGAAAUGGUCUCUAACUAAUGGUCUCAUCCUAAAGCAGAGGAUGUGGUUGCAUGGAUUGUAAAGUGGCCUUGAAUCACUGGGAAGAUCAGGGUACAAUUCCUUGCUUUGUCAAGAGAGAACUGUACCAGGAGGGAUGCAAAUUGCUUCCCGCUUUGUGUCCUCAUUACUUUAUUUUGUACUCUAAUAAUUAUUUACAAAUCCUAUAAACGAGAAGCAUGUCUCCAACCUUUCUUGGCAGUGGGAUUUAUAGUCAAAACUGUCACUGGUGAUGCAGGUCUUGCAAAGCCAGUACUUGUCACAGCAAGAGUGUGGCUGGUUAGUGAAUUCCUGCAAUUAGUAUUUCUGCUCUCUGUCCCCUCCGCCUACUGAAAUCUGUUGUGAGGUCUUACUUUCAAACAAAGGCUCAUGCAAGUGGAACUAAUUUUCCUACCAGUCUUAAAAUAUCAUAAACUGAAGACAUGACAGGUGGGUAGUGCAACACACCAUUUACUGUGGGAAGGGCAAGUAAUUGACAUCCGUGUAACUGAUAAAUAACAUUGAGAAUUGGAAUAUAUACAAGUAGCAGGCUAAAAGAAUUGCCCUUAGUGUGUUAAGCUAAAACAUGCAUGUGCCCAGAUGUACUAAAAAUAUGCUAGCUUUUCUGAUUUGGGGGAAAAAUAGUCAAUUCAUGACAGUUUUUAAAAAUCCUACUUUUCCUUAGGAGAGACCUUAGUCAUCCCAAGAGGUUUUUUUGGUGCUAGAUAAACAACUUUGUUUACAAAACUCUAUUCUUUUUGACCCUCCUGAAGAAUUCCCAUUCUGCAUCAAUACUAGCCAAUUAAAAAAAAAAAAAAAUCAAAGCCAAAGCAGAAACAGAGGGAGAAUGACACUCGUAUUCACAAUUGAUUUUGAUUCAGGGGCUGCUCUUCAUGCUGUGUGCAGACUGCUAAAGUGUUGUGAGCAGGACUUUGGCCAGCUACUUCCAAGUCUGAAGUUUCAUGGUGCCAGUAUUUCCUUUUUCUGUUUGUUGUCAAAAUAUUAAAUCCAUGCAGGAGCUUAUUUGUCCAGUAACUUGAUGUCAUGAUCCCCCAUAAACAUGUAGCUCUUUGUUAAGGAAAAUAAAUGUAAAUAUACACACCAUUUUUUUCCAAGUCUUAAAUAUUUAGCAGCAACUUACCAGAAAGGAAGAUUUACUGCAUGUCUACAGAUAUUGCUACACACAAAAACUUCAGCUGAUCCAGACUUGUCUAUAUUUGACAUACAGAUACUUUGUUUAAUUUAGAAACUAUUACUCUUUUUGAUACAGUUUCACCAUAUAUGAUUUGCAGAGCCUAGUGAUCACUACAUGUAUUCUUCUGACAGAUAUUUUAUUUAAUUGGUUUUCUGUUUUGUUCAGUUUGCAAUAAAUUGUGAGGAAAACUAUAAAAAGCAUUGACUUAAAUAUUACUGUAGCAUUACCUGUAAUGGUAAAUGUAGUUAUCUAUGCAAACUGGGCAAAAGUCCAUUUGUGGUAAGGUUUGGGUGGUGUUUCUGCAGAGUAGUCAGACUACGUUUUAUGAAACUAAAGGGAGCAUGAGGUCAAAAAUCCUGACAGCUCAAACCUUUGAUAAAUGGCAGAUAUAUCACAAAAUGAAAAGUAGAUUUCCCAUAGGGAGCGUUUUUCUUAAAAUUCCUUGAGAUGAUAGUGUGAUUAUAAAAACAAAUAGAAACCAAACCCAAUAAUCAUAUUUGAAUGGAACAGCAGAAUCCCACAUGGAAAGCAGAAUGAUUUUAAUCUGAUUAAAGUAACUCAGGACUUUAACAAUUCUUUUUCCUUUUUCUUUUUUAAUGGUAUAAAGUUUCUGGCUUACUUCAUCUAUUUGCUUCUACCACUGUUUUCCCUCUCUACCAGCCUUACAUCUUGCUGUAAGUCAUAUUGCUGCCUGCAAGCUUUCUCCACAUUUUGGCAAAUUCCCACUGCUAAAGGAAAGAGAGAACCUCUUCUCAUCCCCUAAGCAGACACUUAAAAUGGAUACAUUAAUUAGUAAAUGUGUAUUUCAAACAUGCU